rnacentral:rRNA from 1 species
UAGGGAAUCUUCGGCAAUGGACGGAAGUCUGACCGAGCAACGCCGCGUGAGUGAAGAAGGUUUUCGGAUCGUAAAGCUCUGUUGUAAGAGAAGAACGAGUGUGAGAGUGGAAAGUUCACACUGUGACGGUAUCUUACCAGAAAGGGACGGCUAACUACGUGCCAGCAGCCGCGGUAAUACGUAGGUCCCGAGCGUUAUCCGGAUUUAUUGGGCGUAAAGCGAGCGCAGGCGGUUAGAUAAGUCUGAAGUUAAAGGCUGUGGCUUAACCAUAGUACGCUUUGGAAACUGUUUAACUUGAGUGCAAGAGGGGAGAGUGGAAUUCCAUGUGUAGCGGUGAAAUGCGUAGAUAUAUGGAGGAACACCGGUGGCGAAAGCGGCUCUCUGGCUUGUAACUGACGCUGAGGCUCGAAAGCGUGGGGAGCAAACAGGAUUAGAUAUCCUGGUAGUCCACGCCGUAAACGAUGAGUGCUAGGUGUUAGACCCUUUCCGGGGUUUAGUGCCGUAGCUAACGCAUUAAGCACUCCGCCUGGGGAGUACGACCGCAAGGUUG